rnacentral:rRNA from 1 species
GUGCAGCAGGCGAGAAUCCUUCGCAAUGCGGGAAACCGCGACGAGGGGACUCCCAGUGCCUACGCUCAGCGUAGGCUGUUCCCGAGCCUAGAAAGCUCGGGGAGUAAGGGCUGGGUAAGACGGGUGCCAGCCGCCGCGGUAAUACCCGCAGCCCGAGUGGUGGCCACUAUUAUUGGGCCUAAAGCGUCCGUAGCCGGCCCGGUAAAUGCCUGGGUAAAUCGUGAGGCCUAACCUCACGAAUUCCGGGUAGACUGCCGGGCUAGGGACCGGAGGAGGGAGAGGGUACUCCAGGGGUAGGGGUGAAAUCCUGUAAUCCCUGGAGGACCACCGGUGGCGAAGGCGCUCUCCUAGGACGGGUCCGACGGUGAGGGACGAAAGCCAGGGGAGCGAACCGGAUUAGAUACCCCCGUAGU